AUUGAACGCUGGCGGCAGGCCUAAUACAUGCAAGUCGAACGAGUGGCGGACGGGUGAGUAAUGUCUGGGAAACUGCCUGAUGGAGGGGGAUAACUCCUGGAAACGGUAGCUAAUACCGCAUACCAUCGGAUUUGCCCAGAUGGCAUUAGCUAGUAGGUGGGGUAAAGGCUCACCAAGGCGACGAUCCAUAGCUGGUCUGAGAGGAUGACCGGCCACACUGGAACUGAGACACGGUCCAGACUCCUACGGGAGGCAGCAGUGGGGAAUAUUGCGCAAUGGGCGCAAGCCUGACGCAGCCAUGCCGCGUGUGUGAAGAAGGCCUUCGGGUUGUAAAGUACUUUCAGCGGGGAGGCGUUACCCGCACAGGAAGCACCGGCUAACUCCGUGCCAGCCGCCGCGGUAAUUC
rnacentral:rRNA from 1 species